UACAGAGGGUGCGAGCGUUGUCCGGAAUCACUGGGCGUAAAGGGCGCGUAGGCGGUCCAGUAAGCGUGUGGUGAAAGCCCGGGGCUCAACCCCGGGUCGGCCGUGCGAACUGCGGGACUCGAGCACUGUAGAGGCAGGCGGAAUUCCAGGUGUAGCGGUGAAAUGCGUAGAUAUCUGGAGGAAUACCGGUGGCGAAGGCGGCAUCCUGGACCGGCAUUGACGCUGAUGAGCGAAAGCUAGGGGAGCAAACGGG
rnacentral:rRNA from 1 species